GACGAACGCUGGCGGCGUGCUUAACACAUGCAAGUCGAACGGAAAGGCCCUGCUUUUGUGGGGUGCUCGAGUGGCGAACGGGUGAGUAACACGUGAGUAACCUGCCCUUGACUUUGGGAUAACUUCAGGAAACUGGGGCUAAUACCGGAUAGGAGCUCCUGCUGCAUGGUGGGGGUUGGAUAGUUUCGGCGGUUGGGGAUGGACUCGCGGCUUAUCAGCUUGUUGGUGGGGUAGUGGCUUACCAAGGCUUUGACGGGUAGCCGGCCUGAGAGGGUGACCGGCUACAGUGGGACUGAGAUACGGCCGAGACUCCUACGGGAGGCAGCAGUGGGGAAUAUUGCACAAUGGGCGGAAGCCUGAUGCAGCAACGCCGCGUGCGGGAUGACGGCCUUCGGGUUGUAAACUGCUUUCGCGUGUGACGAAGCGUGAGUGACGGUAAUGGGUAAAGAAGCACCGGCUAACUACGU
rnacentral:rRNA from 1 species